UGAUCCUCCUGCCUUAGCCUCCCAAACCUCUGGGAUUACAGUUUCCCGUUCCAGGCUAAGCAUAAUUCUUGGCAUCUGGCUGGGUUCAUUAAAUACUGGAAGACCAAAUGAAUAAAUGAAUGAAUGAACAACUA